GCGUGUUACGUCACUUGCGUAAUUGCAGUUAUUUCCCUCUCUCUAUCUCUCUCUCUGUCCUGCUCCCACUUUUAUUUGUAUUUCGCUUGGUCUUCGUCCAAUAACAAAAUCUCGGAACUCCAAAUUAAACGAGGUCAACAUUGUUAUGGGCCAUGUUUUGUGUCGUGGUUGUUGUUGUUGUUGUCGCUUGUCGUUGUUGCAGUCAAUUUGAAAUUAUCGGUCAACUUUUUGUCUGCCGUCUGUCAAAAAUUAAUCAGAUAAAUAUGUCACACGACAAUCUCGAAAUUAAAAAAAACACCUACGCAGAAAAGGUCAAACUUGUUUAUGUGUCUACACAACAUGAACAACAACAACAACGGCAACAACAACAACUAGCUACAAUAACAUUAAUUGGGUAAUGGAAAAUUUAAUAACUUACGCAGUUUAUUGCCAAAAACAUUGAAAAUUUGUUGAAAAUUCCCAUGCGCGAAUGGGAAUUACUUUAACAGUUAACACGAAACACGCAACGCGGACUUGUAACUGAGAUUCUGCAGCAGAGACGUUGACGCCGACGUCCGAUUGCACGGAAAUGAAAAUGUGCACUGGACUAUUUGGGCACGAAAGCCGCAAGCGCAGCAGAACCGGCAAAGGCAGCGACAGCAGCAGCAGCAGCAGCAGCAGCAGCAUCAUCAUCAUCAACGACCGCCCUACCUACAGCGGCGGCAAACGCAACAGAGACAGCUUGAGCUUCGGUGGGACCAGCGGCACAGACGUCAGCUGCUCUAGCGACAGCACUGCUAAAGAUCGCAGUGCGAGAUCGCAUUGAGUUGCAGGUAAACAAAGCUGAUGGCAGAGAGAGAGAGAGAGAGAGAGAAGAGCAAGAGAGUGUGCGCGUGGUCUGUGUGUAAGCCGGUGUGCCGGCUCAACAUGCUGGAAGAGCGCACGAGCCAAAUGUUGCGAAGCAGCAAGUUUAGCAACAUGUUGACAAGUAAUGUUGCCAACAGCGCGCAACUCGUUGAAGCUCCAGUUUAAAGACCAAACUUAAGGCUAAUUAUUUAAAUGUAAUAAAAUAUAUGAAGUAUAUUCCAGAGUGUUUAGUAUGUAAA